UACAGAGGUCUCGAGCGUUAGGCGGAAUCACUGGGCUUAAAGCGUGUGUAGGCGGAUCGUUAAGUACCUUGUGAAAUCCCACGGCUUAACCGUGGAACUGCUGGGUAUACUGGCGGUCUUGAGCAACCUAAGGGCGAGCGGAACAGACGGUGGAGCGGUGAAAUGCGUAGAUAUCGAUCUGGAACGCCAAUGGUGAAAACAGCUCGCUGGGGGUUUGCUGACGCUGAGACA
rnacentral:rRNA from 1 species